rnacentral:rRNA from 1 species
ACGAAGGGGGCUAGCGUUGUUCGGAAUUACUGGGCGUAAAGCGCGUGUAGGCGGUUGUUCAAGUCAGGUGUGAAAGCCUUGAGCUCAACUCAAGAAAUGCACUUGAUACUGGAUGACUAGAGGACCGGAGAGGAUAGUGGAAUUCCCAGUGUAGUGGUGAAAUACGUAGAGAUUGGGAAGAACACCAGUGGCGAAGGCGGCUAUCUGGACGGUUUCUGACGCUAAGACGCGAAAGCGUGGGGAGCAAACAGGA